AGCAUAUCAAUAGGCCGGGAGGAA
rnacentral:rRNA from 1 species